rnacentral:rRNA from 1 species
UUCGGAUUGUAGUCUGNAACCCGACUACAUGAAGCCGGAAUCGCUAGUAAUCGCGGAUCAGCAAGCCGCGGUGAAUACGUUCCCGGGCCUUGUACACACCGCCCGUCACACCAUGAGAGUCGGGAACACCCGAAGUCCGUAGUCUAACCGCAAGGAGGGCGCGGCCGAAGGUGGGUUCGAUAAUUGGGGUGAAGUCGUAACAAGGUAUC